ACCAUCUUAGGUGUAACUUCUUUUUAGAUACAUUAAUCAUGAAUUUUAAUUCUCGUCCUAUAUAUCUUUUUCUUUUCUCUUUUUCAAUUUUUGAUUUGGCUGUUUAAGCUGACAGAUAAGGAAAUAACUGAAAUGAGUCCUUAAAAACAUUUCAACAAGAUGAUAAUGAGUAUUGAUAUUUGUCAUGGUUGAUAUCUUUUUGAGCUUUAGUUUAAUUGGAGCAUUUAAUGGGUCUUUAUUGACUGGAAAGGUAAGUUCUAAUUAAUAGGUAGGCUGGGGAAAUUAAGAUUACGCAACAAGUCGCUUAGGCAAAUAAUGAAAGCAAUAGUUAGAUUAAACACGAGCUGUUCACACCAUGGCGUUGUUGACUUAUACAAUAAAAAAGUCUUUUCUUUUUUGCAAAUGAUUUUUUUUUUUUUUUUAAAAUACAAAUGGUACAAUCGUGUUUAUAACAAUUAUUGGGUCAUAGGUACAUUACGUGAAAGAUACAAGAGGCUUUUCAUGUAUUACAUGUAAUUUUUCUUUUUGCAAAAUUUUUUUACAUGCAAUUUAUAAGAAAUUUCCAACUUAAAUAUGACUGCAAACAUACGAAGUCUAUCUACCUCUGUACAUCUUAUCAUAACCACUUAUAGGUUAAUGUACUAUAUGGUCUAAUGAAAAUUAUUUUUCUUCCAUGGAUCGUGGGAACGUCAUGUGUUCUUCCAGGGAGGACCUCGUGGCGAUUGUGUACUAUAUUACUUACGUACCAUUGUUUUUGGAAGAAGUUUAGGUAAUCUGGAUUGGGGUUUAGGAUUAGAACUCAAAGACAACAUUUUUUUUUUGGAACUUAAAGACAACAUUUAUACAAAUUAUAACAUACCGUUAUAACUUUUAUAACGUUUUGUUUUUAAUAACUUUGUGAUCGGAUUGAACAUUCAAAUUAUAACAUAUCGCGACUUCAACUGAUUUAAGUCACCCGACUGAUACAGAAAGAAACAGUCCGCCCCGUUUACUAAUACAAAUUAUAACAUAUCGUUUUUUUUUUUUUUUACUAUUACAUAUAUACCUAACUGUUUCAGUAUUUUUUUUUUUUUUUGAGAAGGUGCUUCUAAUGAGUGAACUUUUGACGCAGCCUAGCGGAGCUAGAAAUUACUUUUAUCCGAGGCAAAACUAUGAAGCACUACUAAACAUCUUUAUAAAAUUGAAUUUUUAACAGGGGAAUUCAUAAAAAUCUUGACAAAUUUACAUUAACUUAAAAAGUUUAUGGUGGGCAAGUGCCCCACCCAAACUCUAUGUAUAGUUUCUAUAAUAACAAAAAAAAGUACACACUAUCAAAGGCUCCUAUCAAAUACCACAGGAACGGAAGAUGGUCCGAAAGAGAGGUAAACGAAGUUGACGUGGCUGAGGUUCCUCUCACUAGGUCAUGUUUUCAUACCAUUACUAGUUUACGUUUCUCUACCUAUAUUUUUGUUGCAUUGAUUUGUUGGGAUUGUGAAAUUCCAUGUCCAACUCUAUAUUAUCCGAUUAGUACGAUAUUGUCCACUUUGAGCCUCAGAGACUGGCCCGCAUGGUUUUACUUUUGGUUUCCAUCCCAAAAGACCUCGUACUAUUAGAGUUAGACAUCUCUUUAUAUAUUAGACACUCAUUGUCUAAUUCUCCAAUGUGGGACUUAGUUUGUUAUAUCAUAUUCUCCCCUUCAAACUAAGGAUCACAUUCAUCUCGUGUCCCACAACUGACUUCCAGAAUCUUAUGACUCGAUAUCUGCUACACACAUCUCAUUCCUAACUCAUAGGAUACCCAUUCAUCACUCAUUCAUUAUUCAAAGGGUAUUUCGGUCUUUCUUGCAGAUUUUUCGUCAACUGGCUCUGAUACCAAUUGUUAGGAUUGUGAAAUUUCAUGUCCAACUCUAUAUUAUCCGAUUAGUACGAUAUUGUCCAUUUUGGGCUUCAGAGACUGACCCGCAUGGUUUUACUUUUGGUUUCCAUCCCAAAAGACCUCGUACUAUUAGAGUUGAACAUCUCUUUAUAUAUUAGACACUCAUUGUCUAAUUCUCCAAUGUAGGACUUAGUUUGUUAUAUCACAUGAUUUGGAGUAAAAAUCUCAUGAGGUUUGUCUCGUGUAAACUUUAUCAAACUAACUUGUAAUCGUUUAUGGUUUAAUUUGAAAGCCUUUAAUUCAAAAAAAAAAAUACACACAUACACAGCAACACUAUAUAUGUGCAAAGAGUUUUAUACAUUUUGAAUUACGAUAAUGACGAAAAUGUCAUUCAGUUUUACUUUUUCUCUAAGGUGGUAGUCAAACGGUUAGUGUUUCAGGUUAGAUCAAAUACGAAACUAAAUCAAAAUAACAGUUUUAAACUAAUCGUGGGUUAAGAAAACUUUUUAAAGUUAAGUAGUUUGAUUUAGUGGAUAUGAACGAAUAGUUCUUAUCGAUCAAGCGUUCUUUCAUCUUUGGCUUAAUACCCAUUAAUUAUAUCGUGGUUGGAUCAUGGAUGCUUCCUAAUGUCAGGAAACAUAUUUAAUCUUUGUUUGUUAUUAAUCAUUUAAUUUGAUCUCAUCAUCAGACGCCGAUUAAUGAAGAAUACUCAUAUGUAAAAACAAAAAAGAUUCAAAUUUUGACCAAAAGAAAGUAGAAGAAAAAGAUUAGAUUAACUUUCUUAAAAUAAUUAUAUAUUUUCAUUGUGUAACUUAAUGGAUUACCAGUUGUUUUCCUCUAAUUAACUAGUUCUAAUGACAUUUCCAACUCCACUAUAUAUUUUAUUUUAAAAUGGAAUAAAAAUAAAAAUUUGAAUAAAAAUUAAAACCACUAUUUUAUAAAUAGAAUAAUAUAUUUUUUUGCUCAUUAUUCUAUUUUAUAGUAAAAUGUGGAGUGGGGUUAGAGAUGUCAUAAUAGACUAUUAUGGAGUAUUUAAAUGGAACGCAUAUCCUUCUAUAUAAAUCAAAUAUACAUAUAUAUAUAUAUAUAUAUAUAUAUAUAUAUAUAUAUAUUCUCAUAAGAAGUAUUCUUGUUUUAAGAUCUAAAAUACGUUUUAUAACCAAAAAAUAUAUAUCUCAAAUACGUGAAACUAGUGUGUAAUAUGACGAUUUAUAGUUUUCAUUUUCUACAAAUACAGACUGAAUUUUGGUUUUUGGAAUCUAUUUAAGUAAUAUACUCAACUCUCCUUCGAUAUUUUUUUUCUUUUGACAACAAAAGGGUAUCUUUCCUUCGAUAUAAGUUGUUUAUUUCAUAAGAUCCCGAAAAUGCAACGACGUGGUUAAUUGUUUCCUAGUAUCGUACAAAUGACUUUAUUAGUGUAUUGGUUAUAAAUAUUAGGGACAUGUUCAAAGUUCAAACCCAAUAAUUUAGUUAUAUGUAACGUGUUCCGACGUGCUUCUUAUCUACGUGAUAUCCAAUUUGAUAUUAUCCAAAGCGUUAAGAUUCCAAAAUCUUUUGAAAGCUUCAAAUAAUUGAGGAGGAAUCUCAAAAUAAAGCGUUUAAACUACAUAGUAUAAAAAAAAUUGUUUAAAAUAUUUUAAGUUAGUUAUAACUUUUUAAAAUACAUCCAGUCAAAGCUACUCUAACAUUUGGGUUUAAAGUUUAGUAAUUAUGGUUUAGGGUUUAGUAAUAGGUAGGGUUAAAAAAAAAAGGUGGGUUGAGUUUAUAAACUUCUGUAAAUAUAGUACACAUUAUUUUUAAAUAUUUAUAGAUGACUUAAAAUGUAAAUUUGAAAAAUGGUAUCAAAUUAUGCUAAAACUGAAAUUCUAGUAAUUUUUUAAAAUAUUAUAAGUUGGUUAUCACUUUUAAAAAAUAUACUCAAUCAUAUUUCCUUAAUAUUUGGAUUUAAAGUUUAGUGUUAGAGUUUAAUAUUUUUCUGUUUACUGACUAAUAUGAAGUUCUUCGGAGGAAAAUCAAAUAUAAAUGUAAUUGAUUUUGUCACCUAAAUUCAAAAAGCAUAAUAUUAUACUGAUGAAAUAGACCGAAUACAUAUAUGAAAAACUUAAUAUUUAUUAUCCUUCCUCUGUUUCAUAAUAAGUGUCGUCGUAGAAUAAAAUGUUUGUUACAAAAUAAGUUUAUCAUAGAAUUUCAAUGGAAAACUUAUUAACACUAUUUUCAUAUUUAUUUUUCUAUUAAUUGAAAUACGAUUAGAUGUAUAGAGAAUGAUAGUUAUUUUUGGAAAAUAAAAAAAAUAAAUAUUUUUCUAAUUUAUGUGCACAAAUAAAAAAUGACACUUAAAAAAGUAAAUAUUUUAUGAACUAAACCUAAGAUUCACCAAGUUGGUUCUAGUAUUAUUUGUUGGGUUAUAACUUAAAAUCCAAUAUUAGUUAUAUAUUUAAAUAUUUUCUUAAAAUUUAUAAAGAUAAAUUUAAAUGUAUUUCUUAAGAUUUAUCAGUGUUAUUUUAAAAUAUUAUAUAGUAAAAUAAAAUGUUUUUAUCUUAAGUAUAUUUAUCAUAUAUAUACAUAAUAAUAAUAAUAGUAACAAUAUUUUCAAAUUUGUGUUUUGAUUAUUAAACUAUGUAAAUUUAACAUAAAUCUGAAUAAAUUGUUUAUACAUAUUUAAGAAAUUUUGUUUGAAGAAAAUGUUUAAUUUUUAAAUUAUAGAUAAAAUAUUUUUCUAUUUUAAUAUGUAUUCCUUCUUUAACUAUGGGGUGCGGACCGUUCGUUUGUGCUUAUUUCAUUAUUGUCAUAUGUUUGUGCUUAUUUCAAAACCUGUUGUUUCGUAGAACCUUUCAUUUAAAGAGUUUUGGAUUAUGUUGCAGUAUUAUUAAUAAACUAAGAGUUUUGAUUUUUUGAGUUUGAAUUAUUGUAUUAAAUAUAUUUUGUUCAAUAUUUUGAUGAGUUAUAUUAUAUAAUUUGUUAA